rnacentral:rRNA from 1 species
GUGCCAGCAGCCGCGGUAAUACGUAGGGCGCAAGCGUUGUCCGCCAGCACCCGGGCGUAAUGAGCUCGUAGGCGGUUUGUCGCGUCUGCUGUGAAAGCCCGGGGCUUAACCCCGGGUGUGCAGUGGGUACGGGCAGACUAGAGUGCAGUAGGGGAGACUGGAAUUCCUGGUGUAGCGGUGGAAUGCGCAGAUAUCAGGAGGAACACCGAUGGCGAAGGCAGGUCUCUGGGCUGUUACUGACGCUGAGGAGCGAAAGCAUGGGGAGCGAACAGGAUUAGAUACCCUGGUAGUCC